GGGGGAUAUUGCGCAAUGGGGGCAACCCUGACGCAGCAACGCCGCGUGAAGGAUGAAGGUUUUCGGAUUGUAAACUUCUUUUAUUAAGGACGAAACUUGACGGUACUUAAUGAAUAAGCUCCGGCUAACUACGUGCCAGCAGCCGCGGUAAUACGUAGGGAGCAAGCGUUGUCCGGAUUUACUGGGUGUAAAGGGUGCGUAGGCGGCUUUGCAAGUCAGAUGUGAAAUCUAUGGGCUCAACCCAUAAACUGCAUUUGAAACUGUAGAGCUUGAGUGAAGUAGAGGCAGGCGGAAUUCCCCGUGUAGCGGUGAAAUGCGUAGAGAUGGGGAGGAACACCAGUGGCGAAGGCGGCCUGCUGGGCUUUAACUGACGCUGAGGCACGAAAGCGUGGGUAGCAAACAGGAUUAGAUACCCUGGUAGUCCACGCUGUAAACGAUGAUUACUAGGUGUGGGGGGUCUGACCCCUUCCGUGCCGGAGUUAACACAAUAAGUAAUCCACCUGGGGAGUACGGCCGCAAGGUUGAAACUCAAAGGAAUUGACGGGGGCCCGCACAAGCAGUGGAGUAUGUGGUUUAAUUCGAAGCAACGCGAAGAACCUUACCAGGUCUUGACAUCCAACUAACGAAGUAGAGAUACAUUAGGUGCCCUUCGGGGAAAGUUGAGACAGGUGGUGCAUGGUUGUCGUCAGCUCGUGUCGUGAGAUGUUGGGUUAAGUCCCGCAACGAGCGCAACCCUUGCUAUUAGUUGCUACGCAAGAGCACUCUAAUAGGACUGCCGUUGACAAAACGGAGGAAGGUGGGGACAACGUCAAAUCAUCAUGCCCCUUAUGACCUGGGCUACACACGUACUACAAUGGAUGUUAACAGAGGGAAGCAAGACAGCGAUGUGGAGCAAACCCCUAAAAACAUUCUCAGUUCAGAUUGCAGGCUGCAACCCGCCUGCAUGAAGAUGGAAUUGCUAGUAAUCGCGGAUCAGCAUGCCGCGGUGAAUACGUUCCCG
rnacentral:rRNA from 2 species